rnacentral:rRNA from 1 species
AACGAACGCUGGCGGCAUGCCUAACACAUGCAAGUCGAACGAAGCCUUCGGGCUUAGUGGCGCACGGGUGCGUAACGCGUGGGAAUCUGCCCUUUGGUUCGGAAUAACAGUUGGAAACGACUGCUAAUACCGGAUGAUGACGAAAGUCCAAAGAUUUAUCGCCAGAGGAUGAGCCCGCGUAGGAUUAGCUAGUUGGUGUGGUAAAGGCGCACCAAGGCGACGAUCCUUAGCUGGGCUGAGAGGAUGAUCAGCCACACUGGGACUGAGACACGGCCCAGACUCCUCCGGGAGGCAGCAGUGGGGAAUAUUGGACAAUGGGCGAAAGCCUGAUCCAGCAAUGCCGCGUGAAUGAUGAAGGCCCUAGGGUUGUAAAGCUCUUUUACCCGGGAUGAUAAUGACAGUACCGGGAGAAUAAGCCCCGGCUGACUCCGUGCCAGCCGCCGCGGUAA